AGGAUCUGAAUUAUAUAAGCUUCUAACUUAUAAUAGCAAUAAAAGUUGCGGAUUCUA
rnacentral:tRNA from 1 species